rnacentral:rRNA from 1 species
GACGUAGGGCGCGAGCGUUGUCCGGAAUUAUUGGGCGUAAAGGGCUCGUAGGCGGUUUGUCGCGUCGGGAGUGAAAACGCCGUGCUUAACACGGCGCUUGCUUUCGAUACGGGCAGACUAGAGGUAUGCAGGGGAGAACGGAAUUCCUGGUGUAGCGGUGAAAUGCGCAGAUAUCAGGAGGAACACCGGUGGCGAAGGCGGUCUCUGGGCCGAU